AGGGUCAUUUAAAAAAAAAGUGAAAUUUGAGAAAAAAUUGUGAACAUAAAAAAAAUAAAAAAAAUGUCCAUCCCCUCCCCUUCCCUCUCUCCACUUAUACACUCCUCUUACCCUCCCCCUAAGAUAUUCCUUUCAGAACCACCCCUUUUCUCUAUUUCUCUCGCUCUGUCCCUCCCUCUCUUGCUCUCUCCUCCAUUUCUAUCCCACUUGCACACACAGACCAGAUGACUGACGCCCUCUUACCCUCCCUCUCUCUCUCACCCUCGUUUUCUCUCUCUCUCCAAGCUCUCUCCGCUACACCACCAAUACUUUUUUCCCUGGCUGCGGUGUGUUUGUGCUUUAGUGAGUGUAUGGCGAAACCGGUUCUGUGCUGAUCCAGCGUGUGCUAUCCCAUACACAGAGCCAGGAGCAGCGUACCUCUUGCCAACAUCCUGCCUCCACUCUGCUGCCUUUUCUGCUUUGAUUUCCCACUGUCUGCUUUUCCACCAGACCUUUUCUUUCUUUAACCCUCUGCUCUCUUCCAAGAAUGAUCUAGGAAAAGGGGAAAGAAAUAAGAGAAAGGUGUCUCCCCUGUGUGAAGGGGAGAUGAGGAGGCAGAAAAGGAGAGCGAGAGGGGAGAGGACUAGAGAGAAGACUGGGGUUAGGCUGCAACACGAGAGGCAAAGCAACGAGGAGAGGGAGAAAGAAGAGAGCAACAAGGAUCGAGGGAUGAUCGAGGUGGAAUCGGGCCGAAAACGCAGGAAAAGGAGGGAAAAAUUGCCAGACUCAUCCAACAUCUGCUGUGUGGGGACCGGACCCAUCACCUGACUGCCCUCUCCUGUCUUCCUGGUCUUCAGCAGAACAGCCAUGAGACACACACACCAGCACAGAGCCCACAGACUGCAAAGAGGGGGCUGGGUGGAUUGAUGGAGGGAGAAGACAGAGGCUGAGCUGACUGUGGCGGUGGGGGAGGUAGGUAGAGAGUAGAGCAUGCAGAAUAAUAGAAUCAAUACUAUUGUCUGUAACAUACCUGCCGUUGGGCUUUCAGUCUGGCCCCAGUAGCCAGUCAGUCAUCAGACCCAGCCGCCGUAGAGCAAAGACAGAGAACGAGAGGGGGGGACAAAGAGAGAGAAAAGGAUGGGAAAUGCAGGCAUUGCCGCCUUCUUUUUUAUUUGCCUCAAAUGAUGGUGAAUGAAGAUGGAGUGUUGAAAAAGGCUAAGUUUGAUUCCUUUGUGUUUUUUAAACCUUUGUGUUUCGUUUAGUGCCUCUGCCGCCAAGAUGCACUGGAACUUUGGAUAGAGGAAGAUACCGUCCUUUUGUGUCCCUGUGUGUGUGUGUGUGUGUGUGUGUGUGUGUGUGUGUGUGUGUGUGUGUGUGUGUGUGUGUGUGUGUGUGUGUGUGUGUGUGUGUGUGUUUAAUCAACAACUGAACCAUCAGAGGACACAUGCUGAGGGAGACAUGUUGUCCACAUGUCUGUGUUGUUGUAGCUGCUACUCUAUGUGCUGCUACUCUAUGUGCUCAUCUUGUUUCUCCUCUAGAUUCCCACAUUAUUGCUUUAGUCAAUCUGUCUCUGCUUUUCUGCGUUUCAAAUUUUAUGAUAUUUCAUUUAGAAUGAUGAAAGGGGAUUGGGAACUCGUUUGAGUUGGUGGACAUGUUGAUGUGGUUUAUCAGUAUAUGGCUUAUAUCUGCACCUGCGUGCACACCAUAUGUGUGUUCAAAAGCAGAAUUUAGUUUGAGAUUGCAGUAUUGCGGUAAAAAUGAUAUUUACAGAUCCAACUGAAGUCUAUUAUUAAUAUAGACUUGUAACUUGAACCGCAGAUAAAUCCAUAAUUCAUUAGUGUGUGAAGUUGUGGUACAUGUCUUCAAAUGGCUCUUCUUUCCUUUCUGUAAAGACUCACCCCGUUUCACAUUAUUCACAUUCAUCAACAUCUAUUUAUUUGUGACAGCUAAACAGACACGGCCAAAACUUUAUUCUUUAUUUAACUCAUUGAUUGUACUUUUCUCAUUAUUUGAAGUUAUUGUCACAAAGAGAAUUUACCUGUGUUAGAGAGUAAGUCAGUGUGUCAGUCAGACUGUCUACCAAUAGGUGGCACUGCUUUGCCAAAUUUUCUCUCACAGAACUUUUGCUCUUGGCACUAUAGUAGGAUAUAUUGGACACAAUGUACUUAAGUAGUUAUUCAAACAAAUAAACAUGUUUGAGCGAAGUGAAUGUACAGUAGCAUGUUCUUAUUUCAUAGUGUUUGACUGUCCCUUAAAAUUACGGAAUUUCAUUCCCUCACUCCGCAGGUAGAGUCGGACAUUUUGGAAAAUUGCAUCCUGUGACAUCUUGCUAAGAUGGAUCCGAAGGCUUCUUUCUUCACCCUUCCACAUCUUCCUUGAACCCUACACAACCAUCAUGUCCUGUGUCCCCAUCUCACCCAGUGAGUGAGAGCACAGCUCCUGUCCUUCAUUUGAACCACUGUCAGAUUAACAAAGGCAACAUCUACCUGUAAUUGCUAGUGAAGACAGGGAGACAGUGGCUCAACCAGUAGGAGUUAGAAGAGAGAAAAGGGAGAAUUGCUCUUUAAGUUCUCGUAAGCAGAUGUAGCCAUUCUUGGCCAGUAGCUGGUUGCCCCUGCAACAUAGAGUUGUUAAAUUGCAGAGCAGUCCCACACAAUCAGGCUGGAGAUUGUCAAGUGUUACAUAGUGGUAUCUUAAGUGUAGAGGAAUUAUACUGACUGGGACUAUUUUAUUCUGAUUGACACAGCUCAGUGGACUGCCUAGGAGGUCCGUAGAGGAAAACGUCUCUAAAGAGCUAUUAGAGAAAUGAUUCUGAGCCGAGGUUAUUAAGAGAGUAUAUUACAUAUUAACAGAAUAUAUUAGGUAUGAAUACACAUGUAUAUCUAGAAGGUAUGUAUUAUAUUGUAUGUUAUACCACAGCACUGUUGAAUACGUGUUUCUGAUUGGUGAGAAUGGACAUUAACAAGUUGUUAUACAGAAAGUCUGGAAUGUAUAUUCAUUAUAUUACAUGUUUCAUAUUGAUCAGAUUUGCUGCGUUUCUGCAGCAAACCCACACAGGAGCCGGCCGGUUGCCGCAGAAAUGAAAAUGUCAGACGAGGUCAUAGCUUUGUGUCGUCGGUGCGACUAUGCGGUUCUUUUUUCUUUAGUAAAAAGGCGUUUCAUCCAUCAGACCAUGUUUGCUAAUGUGAAACGCCUGUGGAACUACUUUUCCCAGCAUGCCCCUCUGUCCCUGAGACCCUUAACCUGUGAGGUCAUAGUAGGUCACAGGUGAGGUCCUCGGGAACAGGGCUGCAUUCAUGUUCAUCAUUGUGGAGCAAAAGAAAAGAGAAGAGUCGCUGUGGAAGAUGACUUACUGUUUUUAUACGUCAAUGAACUCCUUGCUAUUUCCCAUAGACUGUUCAAGUAUAAAGAAUGCAAUGUAUAGUGUUUAAACUGGUGUUUCCUUUUAAAGUGAUCAUAGUUAGAGUUGCUUCCACACAUCUGAAUACAAAACUAAAUCCCAGACUUUAACACCAUGGUUGGAUGUCCCAUGUCUUUGUAUCUGAUAAUGGUACACACAGCCCUAUCCAUUCUGCAGGACUCUACUGAAUGUUGUGGUACUUAUGUACUUGUCUGAAGUGUGAUUCCCUCUUAACAACGAAUACCUGUGGAAGAGGAUGUCUGUCUGUACUCUCCAACUGCAGGAGUGACCUCAGGGGGCCCACCCUAUUGGCUGGCUUUGUGUUCUAACCCAUAAUGGGAGCCAAUCAGAAGACAUCCAAGGGUGGUGACCCCAUCAAAGUUAUCAUCUUCGAAGACAGCUAAUGAUCCAUGUGAAAUAAAGUAUUUAUACACUAUUACUGUAUUUUGUUACUGUAUUUUUUUACUGUAUAAAUUGUAUGUCUUAAUUCGUAAAUAAAGACAGAGAAUUGUAAA